rnacentral:rRNA from 1 species
AUUGAACGCUGGCGGCAGGCUUAACACAUGCAAGUCGAGCGGAGAUGAGGUGCUUGCACCUUAUCUUAGCGGCGGACGGGUGAGUAAUGCUUAGGAAUCUGCCAUUUAGUGGGGGACAACAUUCCGAAAGGAAUGCUAAUACCGCAUACGUCCUACGGGAGAAAGCAGGGGAUCUUCGGACCUUGCGCUAAAUGAUGAGCCUAAGUCGGAUUAGCUAGUUGGUGGGGUAAAGGCCUACCAAGGCGACGAUCUGUAGCGGGUCUGAGAGGAUGAUCCGCCACACUGGGACUGAGACACGGCCCAGACUCCUACGGGAGGCAGCAGUGGGGAAUAUUGGACAAUGGGCGGAAGCCUGAUCCAGCCAUGCCGCGUGUGUGAAGAAGGCCUUUUGGUUGUAAAGCACUUUAAGCGAGGAGGAGGCUACUAGUACUAAUACUACUGGAUAGUGGACGUACUCGCAGAAC